UAUUAGUUUCCCAGAGCUGCCAUAGCAAAGUACAGCAGAAUAUGUGGCUUAAACAACAAAAUGUUAUUGUCUCACAAUCCUGGAGGAUUGAAGCCUGAAGUCAAGGCCUCAGCAGGGCUUUUCCUUCUGAAGACUGAGGGAAGGAUCUCCCCAGGCUUUCCUCUUUGGCGUGUAGAUGGCCAUCAUCAUGCUGUGUCUUCUCGUGGUUUUGCUUCUGUACCAGUCUGGCACUGAAUCAAGUCAGUCAUACUGGGUCUAUUUGAGUUUGUAAAUUCAGUACUGCAGCUCGAACAUCUUGGAAGAAGAUAGCGGUCUCGCCGAAGGCUUGAGAUAUAUUAUGGGCCAAUUGAUUCAUGACCACUGCAGUCGUAAUCUGGUUUUGGAGGGUCAUGGCAGCAGUCGCUGCAGCAGAGACGGCGGCGACCACUGGGACUAUGAUAGCGACAACAGCAGAAACGCCAAAAUCUCAUUUUCUUCGAGGGUGUAGCUUCAGGUUGAAUAAAGGGUCUGAAUCUUGCCAAUCUUCGAUAUAUAGGCGCCAUGUCAAGGUGGCAUUCAGCAAAGAAACCAUGGAGCUCACUGAAGCCUGUUAUGUACAAACAAGAGCAUCGAUUCCG
rnacentral:lncRNA from 1 species